AAUAGAUACCCGGGUAGUCCACGCCGUAAACGAUGAGUGCUAAGUGUUAGAGGGCUUCCACCCUUUAGUGCUGCAGCUAACGCGUUAAGCACUCCGCCUGGGGAGUACGGCCGCAAGGCUGAAACUCAAAGGAAUUGACGGGGGCCCGCACAAGCGGUGGAGCAUGUGGUUUAAUUCGAAGCAACGCGAAGAACCUUACCAGGUCUUGACAUCCUUCGCUACCUCUAGAGAUAGAGGGUUCCCCUUCGGGGGACGGAGUGACAGGUGGUGCAUGGUUGUCGUCAGCUCGUGUCGUGAGAUGUUGGGUUAAGUCCCGCAACGAGCGCAACCCUUGACCUUAGUUGCCAGCAUUCAGUUGGGCACUCUAAGGUGACUGCCGGUGACAAACCGGAGGAAGGUGGGGAUGACGUCAAAUCAUCAUGCCCCUUAUGACCUGGGCUACACACGUGCUACAAUGGAUGGUACAAAGGGUCGCGAAACCGCGAGGUGGAGCUAAUCCCAAAAAACCAUUCUCAGUUCGGAUUGCAGG
rnacentral:rRNA from 1 species